rnacentral:rRNA from 1 species
GAUGAACGCUAGCGGCAGGCUUAAUACAUGCAAGUCGAGGGGCAGCAUGACUGUAGCAAUACAGUUGAUGGCGACCGGCAAACGGGUGCGGAACACGUACAGAACCUUCCUUCGAGCGGGGAAUAGCCCAGAGAAAUUUGGAUUAAUACCCCAUAGUACAACGGAGUGGCAUCACUUUGUUGUUAAAGAUUUAUCACUUGAAGAUGGCUGUGCGGCUGAUUAGGUAGUUGGCGGGGUAACGGCCCACCAAGCCUGCGAUCAGUAACUGGUGUGAGAGCACGACCAGUCACACGGGCACUGAGACACGGGCCCGACUCCUCCGGGAGGCAGCAGUAAGGAAUAUUGGUCAAUGGACGAAAGUCUGAACCAGCCAUGCCGCGUGGAGGAUGAAGGUCCUCUGGAUUGUAAACUUCUUUUAUAUGGGACGAAAAAAGGGUUUUCUAACUCGUCUGACGGUACCAUAUGAAUAAGCCCGGCUAACUCCGUGCCAGCCGCCGCUGUAAUAC